GAAAUGUUUGUUCAGAAAGUAUGAACAAACAGCCACUGAUUGCUCAAGGUUGGAAAAAAAAAUAUGCAUUUGAGUUUGUUGCAACAGGCAGGUGGAGGCAUGACAUUUACAUACAGCCAAGACAAACUUAAGCUUUUUAUCAUGUCAGCAGUUUAAUUUUCUACCAAUGGAGUUGAAAGUGAAACAGCAUAUAGAGAAGUUACCAGUUGUAGCAUCUUUGAAUUGCUCUUUGCUAUUCUCCGGGAACUUAUGAUGAUGAAUCCAGCCCCAAAACUGUCAGAAAAUUAAGCAUUGGUUGAUGACAGUGGAAGACCAACACCAAGAAAGCUACAAAACUUUGGUUGGCCAUUCUCUUUCAAGAUCACAUCAAGAAUAAGUUGGAGGGCCAUUACAGACAUAAGUCUACUGUUGUGGUUACAUGACACGUACAUUUAUUGGCGUAGCUAUCCGUAGUUACAAUCAUCAAUCAUCUCAGAAAAGGCAUAUAGAUGAUGACGGUCCUGGCAGAAAAGUAAAGAAAGAGUGUUUUUUCCAAGAAACAUAUGGAAAGCUCCGUGACAAAACAACAACCACUGCUUUCGUACUAGUUGAUUCAGACAAGUGAAGCUGUCAACGACAUCAGAUGUUUUAACCUGUUAUUGGGCCAGAUGAUGAGGAUCAAAAUGGGAUGGGCCAGAAUGAGUUUUGAAUGUUGAUCAAUGGACUGGCUGAUUCAAAAUGGCCAUUUUGGUGAGGCGUCGCAACUGCUGUGCGGACGAUAACAUUCAGAACACACAGGUGCAGAUGUAAUGUUGCUGAGACGCAUGGCUGAUGUGAAACAAGUUGAGAUUGGUACCAGACAAAUGAAAUGGAUAAAAGAGGUAUCACCAUCUCUUGUUCUCACCAUUUCUUCUGACCUGUCGACGUCUUUAUGUUCAUCAUCUGGUCCUGAUUCUAUCUUUCCGUUUAUUCAUGCACUUGAGCUAGCCCACAACUACACCAUAGAUUCCCCAAAUUGUAUUUCCCUCUAUUCUGUGCAGAUCCUAUUCCCCUAUGAUGUAAUCGAGUUCUAUGGGUGGGAUGUAUACGUUACAACUCGUUUAUUGUCUACGU